UACGAAGGGGGCUAGCGUUGUUCGGAAUCACUGGGCGUAAAGGGCGCGUAGGCGGCCGAUUAAGUCGGGGGUGAAAGCCUGUGGCUCAACCACAGAAUUGCCUUCGAUACUGGCAAUCUCGAGUCCGGGAGAGGUGAGUGGAACUGCGAGUGUAGAGGUGAAAUUCGUAGAUAUUCGCAAGAACACCAGUGGCGAAGGCGGCUCACUGGCCCGGUACUGACGCUGAGGUGCGAAAGCGUGGGGAGCAAACAGG
rnacentral:rRNA from 1 species